AAGUCGUAACAAGGUUUCCGUAGGUGAACCUGCGGAAGGAUCAUUAGUGAAGAACCCGGAUGACUACGCUUGCAAUCAACAAGCAAGUCUCCAACCCUUCCUAUCCACGCCGGCCAAGGGGUCCUUUAGGGGGCUCUGGAAGUCGAGAGCGCUGCGUUAGAGUGGGAUGCGUACCAGCCGCGACGGGUAACGUUGCGGAUGGAGGCAUUGCACUUGCAGCUGCUCGGUCUAAGCAUUGCGCAAGCGAGGCUUACUUUGAAUCAUGUAGUCACGUAUGUAUAAAGUAGUAUUACUUAAACAUAAUACAACUUUCAGCAACGGAUCUCUUGGCUCUC
rnacentral:misc_RNA from 1 species